UACGUAGGGUGCGAGCGUUAAUCGGAAUUACUGGGCGUAAAGCGUGCGCAGGCGGUUAUGAAAGACAGGCGUGAAAUCCCCGGGCUUAACCUGGGAACUGCGUUUGUGACUCCAUGGCUAGAGUACGGCAGAGGGGGGUGGAAUUCCACGUGUAGCAGUGAAAUGCGUAGAGAUGUGGAGGAACACCGAUGGCGAAGGCAGCCCCCUGGGCCAGUACUGACGCUCAUGCACGAAAGCGUGGGGAGCAAACAGG
rnacentral:rRNA from 1 species